GACGAAAGGGCGCGAUAAAUCGCGCCCUUUCAUAGAUAUAUGCGGGGCUAAACCCCGCAUAUUCAGUCAAAGUCAAAG
rnacentral:ncRNA from 1 species